GCUAGCUUUGCUGCGGGCUUUCCCUGUUCCCCUGCACCAGUGCGAAAAGCAGAGUGUGCCAAGCGGCUGGCGUCUGUACCCUGUGGGAAAAGUUAACUGUAAUUCUUCGGCUUUUAAAAUCAAUUAACCCGAGUGUUAAUUAACGUCAAGUCGACGGGAGGAGGAGAAGAAGAAGGGGAGGGAGGGAGAAAAGAAAAAAGCUGCAAGGGCGGAUGGCAGAAGAGUUGGCACCGUGCCAUCCAUUCAGGGGCAACGCCACAGUUUCGUGUGAUAGCAGCAGCGGGUAUAUGAUACGGGGCCCUGUAUGCGGGCCAGACAGUGCGGUAAAGCCAAGGGAGAUUAUCCAGACCCCCAGGAGCGAACAGCAAGCAGCAACCGAAGGCGCAAGUGCCAGGAUUACAGCCUAGGCUGCUCCAACUAUGAGCCCUUCCUCGGACCCUGGGACUCGGCUACUUGGGGUUUGGGGGUCUUCCACACCACAGAGGCACAAAGCUGACUUUAAUCACUUUUUUUCCUUUAAACUUGAUUCUGCCGCAGUGGAGCCAGCACAGCGGAUGUUUUCACACCCAGCAAGACAAAGGCCGUCGUCUCCGCCAUGACACUGUUCCGUUCCAAGCAGAGGCCGGGAUUCUGGACUCCUCGAAAAAUCAAAAAGAAACAAGGAAAACAAACAACAAAUACAGCAACAAACAGAAAAAACUGAAAACCACCAAAAUCGUUUGCCCGUUUGCCCGUGCCAGGGGUGAUCUGGGCAUCUGUUGCAGCAGAAGGCGCUUGUGUGGGGCUAAUUUUUCUUUUGGUGGGGGGGACAAGCUGUUGGCUUGUUUGCUAUUUCAACUUCGUUUAUAAUUAACUUAAAAAAAACCCCACCAUUCAGCCUAGUCAACAACAAACAAAGAAAAAGCAGACAUCGGAAGAGAAAUGCCAUAGGAAGCGGCAUGAAUACAUGCCACAGCCGGUGCCACUUGCCACUCGGAAAACCUCAGGGAAAGAUGCCAAUUCUACAGCUGCGAAGAAGGCAGAGAAAGGAGGAUAAAGGUCUACAACUAGAAAUCAUAAGGAAAGAAUACUGCUUGUAUAAUCCUGGAUUGCAAUUGCACACAGCCUCUGCUGGGAGAAGAGAGGGAAUAUUUAAAUGGAGAUAUAGAUGGGUAUAAAUUAAAAGAUAGGCACCUAUCGAUUGCGUAUAAACACAUGUGUAAGGUUGUAUGUGUAUAUAAAUAUGCAUAUUUUCAGACAAACGUUUAGAUAUGUAUAUAUUUUGUGCUACAGGUAUGGGUAUGUAUAUAGGUGUAUAUGUUUAUGCAUAUACACACAUAUGUAGGAUGUAUGCAUGUGUGAGAAAAAGGAGGGAGAGAGAGGAGAGAGAAGGAAAUAUGUGUAUGUGCAUGUAUGUGUAUGCAUACAUCCCACUUUUUGACCCAGGUAUACACAGAAGACAAAAUAAAAAUCAUACUCCAGCAGCAAGCAGGCAGCCAGAGAUUUAUCUACAUUCACUGCUAUCACCAGGGAGAUGAAUGGGGCCGAUCUGAAGCCCUUUUACAAGAUCCACUAUGGGAGUGAAGGAGGAGGAGGGAUGCCACACAGACAUGCACAAACUUGAAGGCAGAGCGAUUUGGAAGGGGCUACUGAGGAAACACUGGUGGCAUAACGCAGGGGAGAAGAAGGGGAAAGAGGCUUGUCUCUCUCUCUCUAUGUUUUAGGUGGUUGUUUUUAAAAAAUCUGCAAAAGGGUUUCAGGGAACGGCUGGUACUUACGUUGUCUGCGUUGCUGUGGAUCCUGAAAGGUGUUCUGUUGGCACCGGGCGCUGAGCCAGGGGCAGGCGCUGGAAACAAAAGGGAGAGACAAAAAAAUAAAGUGAUUCAAUGGGAAUAUUAAUUGCUGCUCUUGUGGAUUUUACAAAACACAUAAACUGUUUUCUUUUUCUUUCUUAAAAAAAAAUGUGGAUUGGCGCGUGUCCCUUUUGCAUGGAAUAUACAAGUAGUAUGGGAUUUACAGCCCAGUUACGGGACUCAGGAUUAGCUGCGCUGGCAUCUUUUGGGCAUAUUCUUCCUUUUAAUGAAUGAGCUUUCGCUGUUAAUGAGGAAUAAUCGUUUGGCUAAUGAGCUUUGAAACAUUAAGAGAAAAGAGGUUUUUUCCGUUAAUCGCUCUGGUGCGACUGCAUGGAUGGAUUACAAAAGACAGCAAUAGGAACGCAGUACAAAGGGGGGGACCUCUCCUGCAGUGGGAGAAGCACCGAGAUGGGUGAUGUGUCCCUGCGUCUUUCCUUCCUUCUCUCUUUCGCUCUCUCUGCCAACUGCUAUGGGUUUCCAUAACUCUGCAAUCAAAGUGGAUGGUCGGGAAGGAUUAUUACACAGAGUGAAGCCUCCGCUGUUAAUGUCUCCAGUGUUUAAUCAUCAUACAGUAGAAUGGUUUUAUGCAUAUUUCAUUUGCAUAUCAUUAAACUGUGUUAGUGAGGGGCAUUCAGAACCAGGAGAAGUACAAAGUUGGGGAGAGAGGGAAGAAAAAAAGGUCCCUAUGAUGCUUAUCUUCAAACGGGGACUUGUUCCAUGAUCUGUCUUCUACUUUUGCUAAAAUCAUUAUGACUUGGAAACCUUUGAAGUUGGAUACAACCUUGGAUUCUUCUAAUUCCUGCAGAGCAGUGUAUUUUACAAAACAGCAGAAAUGUUCCUGCACUAGACAAUUAAAGGAAUAUAAACUCCAGUGGGCUGAAACUAGUAGCUCUUUGGGGAAUGCAGUAGCAGAGGCUUCUACAAAUACCAACACUUAAAAAUAUAUAAUAAACAGCAUCAUAUUAGAAACAAAGAAAACGAAGACAAGAAAUAUUAACACGUGGAUUAUAUUUGUUUCUUUUGGGGGGUAAUGAACUAAAGAGAAUGAAGAAGCCAUCGGUAAUUUAUCCCUUCAUUAAUGAACAGUCACCUUUUUGUAUGUGUUUGUUUUUGUCCUUUCUUUUUGAAGAGGGAUGUUGUUACUUUUGAAGCAAUUAGUCAAUUAUUUUGUAGCUCUGAUCUUUUCCCCCUGCACCCGACAGGACAGAAAGGUGGUGGUUAGGGAAUAUGUGAGUACUUGGGGAGGGGGGGACUUGGUGGGGAGAGAAAGAAUACAGUGAGUUCUUUGUAGAUCUUAUACAUGCACAACAUAUUAAUUGGGGGCUUUUAAAGCUCCCUCAAUGGGCUAUUUCAUUCCUGGUAAAACAGCAGCUGGUUAGCCACUACUGGUGACUCUUCAAAUAUUACUUCAUUUUUAUUCUGUCGCCGUUGUUGUUGUCUUGCUUUGUUUUUCCUCAGUUAAGAAUGAAAAUGUAGUAUCACCCCCUCUUUAGUGAGUCUCUUCUCCAUCUUCUUCACUCCAAUUUCCAAACUGUAAAACAAUGUUGGCUUAAUACUGAGUCCUGGUGCACAGUCUAACUGGCACAACUUGAUUUGGAAAUGAGAUGCUGCUUUAUAUUUAAAUUACCCCGGCUCCCCCCUUAUCCUCCAAAGCUUUGUCUCUGUUAUGAAUAUGCAGAUGAGGCCUGAUGUGAUUACACUGUACAAUUACUCCUAUCCAUGGUGGUGUCAGGGGCUGCUAGGGAGACAGAGAGUCAGACAGCCUCCAAGCCAAUACAGAGUUUUGUUUUCGGUAUUUUUCCUAUCUCCUUGGCACUGCGGCACAUGCAGAUGUCGCUGUUGUUCUUUAUAAAGCCCUAAUGUAUGCAAAAGCAUAACGAUUUGGUUUGGACGCAAAGCAUCAACGAAAUAUUAUGGAUGUCUUCAAGAAAGGGGGAGAGAAAAUCCUGACUGAAGGAAUGUCCACAUAAAUUAUUUUUAUUUAAAUGAAUUCAAAGGAUGGGAUGAGGGCAAGUCAGACGGAGUCGCGUGGAAAACAUGAAUAAUAUUAAUAUGCAUAAAGAAUUCUCACCAACGAGGAGAAGCUCCUCACUACAGCUCUUGGGACAAACAGGUUCAUUAGGAAACAGCUCAGAGCGACUACAGCAUUUUGCUAUUUCAAUUUUUUCCCUUAUUUUAAAUGAAGAGUCAGACAGAUGUGUUUUCUUUGCAUGGCAGCAUUGAGAUGGAUCCAAUCUGCGAAAUUUGCUGCCCAAAUAGCAUUUCUAAUGGAAACUGGAACUAAACAAGGGCACGGAUAUGGGAGGGAGGGGAGAAGAGAGAAUACACGAAGAAGAGUAUAUUCAGAGCCACUGCAUGGCAUUUUGAGUACAGGAGGUUUUCAGGAACGAUCUUUGCUUCAUUAGUCUCCCCUGUGGGCUCCUGAUGUAGGGAGCUAUCAGGGUAUACCAAGAUGAGCACUGAGACAGGCCUUUCUAGGUCUGAGGCUGAGGAAAGCAGCGGCAACUUGGUGCCUGUCCCCCAGAGCUGUCUACAGUUCAGAAGCCAAAAGCACAGCUACUUCUAAUUUGGGGAUGCAGUAGAGUGCCUACUGAUCCAGGUAUUUGUGAAAGAUGGAAUUCUUGGUGCUAUCAUAGUAUACAUUGCUAAAGAGCAGAUGAAAUCGGCUGCUUAAGGAGGCCUGAUAAUAUUUAUGUUGGUUAAUUCUCAUGAUAAUGAUAACUGCACUUGUCUAGUAUUUUCAGAAUGUUAAAAUUACCAGUGUGGCUUAAUGCAUGUUUACAAUAAAUAGAGAGGGACAAA
ensembl:lncRNA novel transcript